AAAAAAUAAAAUAAAAAAUCCAAACAUGCAACACUUCAUAUCCCAAGCAUUUUGGAUAAGAGACAGUCGACCAUUCUGCCUCAUUACUAUUCUUUACAUGUCAUCUUUCAAUUUGUGAAGGCUAUGUGUUAUGAUUGAGCCUCAUGGCUCUGCUUCUGGCAGACGUGGACGUAAGACUCCUCGAGAGUCAGAUACUCUCGAGGAGCGAGAAAGAAAGAGGCUGCGAGAUAUCUUUGCAGAACCGUCUGACGAAGAGUCUUUUAAGGGGUUCACGGAGAGAAUGGAGGAAGAGCUGGUUAGCUCGGAAGAGGAUGAGAUGGAUUGGACUCGGGUAAGGGAGGAGUUGGGUGCCACUGGCAAUAAUGGGAUGGAAGAUGAAUGGGGACCUUCAGGAUUAGACCCAUGGACAAGCUGGAGGGAUGGGACGGGAUCCACAGCUGGGGAUGCUGUGGGGCGUAGUCAGAGGUGUUCCAGCUCUGAUGAGGAAAGUGAUGAGGAAACGCCCGGGUUAAGGAGGGCAGCUGAUAGUGAUGAGGAUUUGUAACUGGCAUAAAAUGAGGCUUGGGAGCAAUUGCAAAUUGCGUUGGGCAAGGUAAUCUGGACGAACGCUUGGGAUCUGUGUGGGACGCUUUCCUGAAGACUGGUGUGUUUUCGUGUGCUGAUACCUUUGACCUUCCGUCGUCUUCUUGACGGACGCCAUCUGCUACUCUGGAUUUACGGACUGAAAACUGACUACGGGCUCGCUUUCUCCUAUUGGACUUGGAAAACUGCAAACGUCUGAUUCUGCCUCUCGACCUUCGGAACGAAUUGGGACUACGCUACUGCUUCAAUCCUUGGCUGUUGAGUUUGUAUUGGAAAUUUGCCUUGCUGUGUGAAGGAGUGACUCCUAGUUACUCAAAACAUAGUGCUGGCAGCAGAGUGUUAUCUGCUGCCAAUUAGUUGCAUUCUUUUGAACUCCUUGUUUCCCAGCUUCUGUUUGUUUUUCCCCAGGCUGAAGCAAGCUGUUUUGAUUUUACCCGGAUUAAACUCCGGUUUAAUCCGGUUUAUCUUUUGAACGUUUUUUCUUGCCCCUUUUUGUUUUUAAAGGCUAAGUUGCCUUGCCCUUGUCUUUUACGGGCAUUUUGAGUUCUGUAAAUCCAAUAAACUCUGUUAUCUUUGA